rnacentral:rRNA from 1 species
UACGAAGGGGGCUAGCGUUGUUCGGAAUUACUGGGCGUAAAGCGCACGUAGGCGGAUAUUUAAGUCAGGGGUGAAAUCCCGGGGCUCAACCCCGGAACUGCCUUUGAUACUGGGUAUCUCGAGUCCGAGAGAGGUGAGUGGAAUUCCGAGUGUAGAGGUGAAAUUCGUGGAUAUUCGGAGGAACACCAGUGGCGAAGGCGGCUCACUGGCUCGGUACUGACGCUGAGGUGCGAAAGCGUGGGGAGCAAACAGG